rnacentral:sRNA from 1 species
GAGUGAGGGUGUGACUAGUGACAGGCAGGGAAGGGGUGACUAGUGACAGAGGGAGGGGUGACUAGGGACAGAGUGAGGGAGGUGGUGACUAGUGACCGUCACCACCUCCCUCACUCUGUCACUAGUCACCACCUCCCUCCGUCACUGUGUCACCCCCUCCCUCACUCUGUCACCAGUCAUCCCCUUACUCUGUCACUAGUCACCCCUCCCUCCCUCUGCCACUAGUCACCCCUUCCCUCACUC